CCUACGGGAGGCAGCAGUGAGGAAUAUUGCACAAUGGGCGAAAGCCUGAUGCAGCGACGCCGCGUGAGCGAUGAAGGCCUUGGGGUUGUAAAGCUCUGUCCUCAAGGAAGAUAAUGACGGUACUUGAGGAGGAAGCCCCGGCUAACUACGUGCCAGCAGCCGCGGUAAUACGUAGGGGGCUAGCGUUAUCCGGACUUACUGGGCGUAAAGGGUGCGUAGGUGGUUACUUAAGUCCGAGGUAAAAGGCUACGGCUCAACUGUGGUAAGCCUUUGAAACUUGGGAACUUGAGUUCAGGAGAGGACAGUGGAAUUCCUAGGGUAGCGGUGAAAUGCGUAGAUAUUAGGAGGAACACCAGUUGCGAAGGCGGCUCUCUGGACUGUAACUGACACUGAGGCACGAAAGCGUGGGGAGCAAACAGGAUUAGAUACCCCAGUAGUC
rnacentral:rRNA from 1 species